rnacentral:rRNA from 1 species
AUUGAACGCUGGCGGCAGGCCUAACACAUGCAAGUCGAACGAGUGGCGGACGGGUGAGUAAUGUCUGGGAAACUGCCUGCUGGAUGGGGAUAACUACUGGAAACGGUAGCUAAUACCGCAUACCAUCAGAUGUUCCCAGAUGGGCUUAGCUUGUUGGUGGGGUAACGGCUCACCUAGGCGACGAUCCCUAGCUGGUCUGAGAGGAUGAACAGCCCAACUGGAACUGCGACACGGGCCAGCCUCCUACGGGAGGCAGCAGUGGGGAAUAUGGCACAAUGGGCGAAAGCCUGAUGCGGCCAAGCCGCGUGUGUGAAGAAGGCCUUCGGGUUGUAAAGUACUUUCAGCGGGGAGGCGUUACCCGCAGAAGAAGCACCGGCUAACUCCGUGCCAGCAGCCGCGGUAAUAC